CUGAGACAGAUUGAAAGACUUGCUUUUUCCCGCGAUCUUCUCUUGGAAAUUGGUCACAACCAUAGACUAUAACCUUGUUUCCGGGAUAAAUGGGUUUUAAACUCAUACUUGAAUACCUUAAGAGGCUCACAAAUCUCCAAGUGUUUUGUUUAAAGAGGGAAACAGGCCUGGCGUCCCGAGAUAUCACACAAAGCGUCUCCAGCUUCAUGAUGACGGCCAGAUUUGAGUCUGGUUGGGCUUGUAUGCAGGAGGGGGGUCGUCUCUUCGUGGGAGAGGACCGGUAAACAGAUUGGAGGUUGUUGGGUUUAAGUCCGGACCCAGCUGAGAGGACCCGGUCCACCAGGUGUCCAUACUGCUGAUCGAUCUGGAUGGCAGACUGACGCAUCUCCUGGAGGUCUUCAUCCUGUUGGAGGAACAACGAAGGACAAACAGAGCAAACCAAAGACAGAUGUGGACCGUAAAACUGCUGGUAUUGCCCUUUAAAAUAAUGUUGGUGCCAAACAAGACUCACUGUAACGCGGCCAUGGUCUCCCCCUGCUGGUGAGGUGGCUGCGCUGCGGCGCCGUCUGCUUUCAGGAAUGCGAGACUGCUCACGUUUACCUCAGGCUGCACGUCAACGAUGCACAUCUUGUUCUUGGCCUGGACGCAGCGGAUAGCUUCAAUACUGGUGCCAUACUGGUUUUCUUUGUACUCGCCGUGCUCUAUGAACCUGUGGAGCAACAGAUUUUUAGUUUUAUAAAAUAAAGCAAACAAUAAAAAGGUUUACGCAGUGAUUAAC